rnacentral:rRNA from 1 species
AACUAUAACGGUCCUAAGGUAGCGAAAUUCCUUGUCAGGUAAGUUCUGACCCGCAUGAAAGGCGUAAUGAUUUGGGCACUGUCUCAACAGCCCGCCCGGCGAAAUUGUAGUACCGGUGAAGAUGCCGGUUACCCGCGACAAGACGGAAAGACCCCAUGGAGCUUUACUGUAGCCUAAUAUUGGGUUUCGAUGUUGCAUGCACAGGAUAGAUGGGACUCUUGGAAACCAAGGCUUUGGCUUUGGCGGAGAGGCCGUUGGGAUACCAUCCUUGCGAUAUUGGAAUUCUAACCUGCGGCUCUGAAUCGAGUCGGGGGACAUUGUUAGGUGGGCAGUUUGACUGGGGCGGUCGCCUCCUAAAGAGUAACGGAGGCGUUCAAAGGUUCGCUCAGCUUGAACGGAAAUCAAGCAAAAGAGUGCAAACGCAGAAGCGAGCCUAACUGCGAGACUGACGGGUCGAGCAGUAACGAAAGUUGGAGUUAGUGAUCCGGUGGUAUGUGAGUGGAAAUGCCAUCGCUCAACGGAUAAAAGUUACCCUGGGGAUAACAGGCUGAUCUCCCCCAAGAGUCCACAUCGACGGGGAGGUUUGGCACCUCGAUGUCGGCUCAUCGCAUCCUGGGGCUGAAGUAGGUCCCAAGGGUUGGGCUGUUCGCCCAUUAAAGCGGUACGCGAGCUGGGUUCAGAACGUCGUGAGACAGUUCGGUCCCUAUCUGUCGUGGGCGCAGGAUAUUUGAUGGGAGCUGUCCCUAGUACGAGAGGACCGGGACGGACGUACCUCUGGCGCACCAGUUGUUCCGCCAGGAGCAUAGCUGGGCAACUACGUACGGAUCGGAUAAACGCUGAAAGCAUCUAAGCGUGAAGCCGACCCAAAGAUAAGAUAUCCCACUGAUUCAAUCAGGUAAGAUCCCUUGUAGACUACGAGGUUGAUAGGCACGAUGUGUAAGUGGAGCGAUCCAUUCAGCAAGUGUGUACUAAUAGAUCGAGGGCUUGACCAC